rnacentral:rRNA from 1 species
AUAUCAGUCAUGCAUAGCAUAUCAAUAAGCGGAGGAAAAGAAACUAACAAGGAUUCCCUUAGUAACGGCGAGUGAAGCGGGAAGAGCUCAAAUUUGAAAUCUUCAAGGUUCUACCUUGACGAAUUGUAGUUUAUAGAAGUGUUUUCUGUUAGUGAGUUGGCUAAAAGUUCUUUGGAAUAGGACAUCAUAGAGGGUGAGAAUCCCGUAUUUGACCAUUACUUUCCAGCUGUGUGAUACACUUUCAAAGAGUCGGAUUGUUUGGGAAUGCAGUCCAAAAUGGGUGGUAAAUUUCAUCUAAAGCUAAAUAUUGGCGAGAGACCGAUAGCGAACAAGUACCGUGAGGGAAAGAUGAAAAGAACUUUGAAAAGAGAGUUAAACAGUACGUGAAAUUGUCAAAAGGGAAGCGUUUGACACCAGUGUUGUUUUUCCGAAAAUCAAUUACGAAUGUUUUAGUUUUUGAGAAGUUAUGACUUCAUCGGCUUGCUCUCUUCUUUAUGAAACUUUCUUAAUGCACUUUUCGGUUAACAAGUCAACAUCAAUUUCUUUUGUUGUAAAAGGGUAUGAGGAAGGUGGCUUUCUUUUCGGAGAAAGUGUUUAUAGCCUUGUAGCCUCUGCAAUCGGAGAGAUUGAGGUCUGCAGCGUAGAUCCUUCGGGGUUAGAUACGUUUGUGCUAAGUUAUAGCUUUUCAUAGACAACUUGUUGACUAUGUUUAGUCUUGUAGCUUACUCGCUUAUGCUAUUUUACCUACGCUUAGGAUGUUGAUCUCUCACAGUCGAGC